UUUGUUGCAAGUGGGGGGAGUUAUUACAAACAGAUUGACGUCAUUAAGAAAUGUUUUUGAUGCUUCUCCUUUGGGAAGAUUGAAGAAAUUGGCAUUUGAAGAUUCGGAUAUCAAGGAUGAAGCAGCGAAUUGUUAUUUAAAUGACUUUUUACAUAUGAUGUAUAAGCCAAUUGUUAAAAAUGAGCUAAAGUUGAUAUACGACGCUGUACUU